rnacentral:antisense_RNA from 1 species
GGCAACAGAGUGGGACUCUAUCUGUAAGCAAAGGAAACAAAAGAAAUAGGAAACAUCACAGUCAAUGGGACACUGAACCAUUCACCUCUAGACAUGACAUGCAUCAUCCCAAGAUGGAGGAGUGUCAUGGAGAAAUCCUGCUGACCAAACUACAGUAGGAAAUGCCAGUCAAGUCAAUAUAUAAUCAGAGCCCCACCCCACCUCAGAGUGAUCUUCUCCAAGCCUGUAGCACUUCAAUUAGAUAAGUGAAAGCUUGCAAAAGGCAUUGGGGCAACAAAACAGUCUCUAUUUCUUAUCAGGGACAAAACAUACUUCCUUAUCAAACAGAGACCUAACCAAGGACACUCAUAAGGCAAGCUGUCAGUUUGUCCUUUAUAACCAAUUGUAGGCGGUGUGCACCUGUACUGAGCAAGCAGCAGGUCAUGUUUACGUGAGGAAGAAGCUAUCUAGGAAGAUCCACUUGACAUGGAUUAUAAAUAGCUAAAGAAACAAGUUCAUUUUGGUGCAUUUCAAAGACAUAUUAAAAGAAAGGUGAAGGCCAGAAGAGCAGAAGGCUCUGAGGAAAGUGCAUCACAGUGGCCCAUUACGAUGCCUGUCUAUGGUCACGUGAGCUGGCAUAUGAGAGUGCUCUGUGAGCCUCAGUGUCUUCAGUGGCAUCAUUGCACUGUGACUGUGCAGGUCCCAAACAGUAUGGACAUGAAUGUCCUCAAGCUGCAUGUUAGCAGGGCUUCUAAUUCCAUCUGCAAGUGAUAGUGUGUGGAGCUUAGUUGCACAGAGCGCAUGUUACUGGAGGAGAUAUGGGUCUGUGUCAUCCUGCAUGGGAAUUAUCCUAAAAACAAAGUGAUCAGUGACUGCUCAGGACUGUGGAAAGGUCAUUUGGAGCAGUGGGAAAAGGUCUGGCAGAGGAAUAAGAAGAUACAGGUCUUAGAACAAGCGCUGGUACUUCAACCAAGUCAUUUAACAUCUGGGGCCUUGGUUUAUUUAUCCUCCCAGAAGAUAAAGCAAUACCUGCCCUGUCUUCCUAACCUUGGAGGGGUCAAAAAAGUGAUAGGUAUGAAAGCAUUUUGUAAACUGUAGUGCAAGCAUACGGCGGGGGAGUGAACCAUACUUUCACUAGCGACUUGAAUGAGGUGAUAAAGAAAAGGCUCAGAACUUCAGAAAAUGCAAGAGGGGCUUGACCCUGGAUUGGGAGAGGAAAGCAAUGGUGGGAUCAAUACCUUGGAGGGCCAAGGACUGAGGGGUUAAGGGUCCAUGAGGACAGACCUGGAUCAUCAGGAAGCUGAGUGUGGUAAGAGUGUGGCUUCUUCAGGGAUUGGGUGGAGUACAGUCCUGCCAAGACCAUAGUAACUCAGGGCUUGGAGACAUCACAAAGGCAGGGGCUCCCAGAGCUGAGAUAAUCUGGAGAAGAGGAUACCCAUCUACUGCAUUCUGAGGUUGGGUUCGACCUUGUAGGUCAUCUUGGAUAGACGUUUUCCAGCUCUUCUUUUUUUUUGGAACAGAGAGAACCUAAUUGACCCUUAAAGUUCCACAGAGCAGAGUUUGCAAAUCUCUGGUUCAGCCUUAUUAUUUUAAUGAGAGGAGAAUGAAAUCCCAGAAAAGAGAUGUGAUUAUGUGAAGGUCACACAGCAAGUUGGUUGCCAAGCUGCAACUGGAACUCAGAAUUUCUGGUUCCCAGUUCUAUAUCUUAGCCUCCCAAACUGGCUAUGUGGACAGGAAAGAACAGAGGCAUGGGGUGAGCUUUAAGGAUGCAAUUUCAUAGGAUUCCAAGAGUCUCAAGGUUAGAGAAGUCGCCUAGUCCACCUCCCCUCUCUGCUUCUCACAGAAGGGUCUGCUGAACACUCUGGUGACAAGGUUAGAGAAGUCGCUUAGUCCACCUCCCCUCUCUGCUUCUCACAGAAGGGUCUGCUGAACACUCUGGUGACAGAGAACUCACCCAACAUGUUCCAUGGCAGAGGCUCUUCAUUAGAUCAAGGUGACAUCUGUUUUACUGGAGCUUCCAACCACGUGUCCCAAUACUGCUCUUAGUCACAUGCAUCCAGGUCCUCUCUCUCAGGACAGCACUUUGAAUAAAUGAGGACAGCUCCCAUCCCCCUUUCUCCCAGUUGACUUUCCAGAUACAUCUCAUAUUGUUGUUAGCUUUCCACCAUUUUUCCUCUUCACUUCCUGGGCCUACUACACUGUGUGUCCUCCACUUGGUCUCCUCCUGAAAGCAACACUGUGCACAAUGUUCCUGGGGGCAGACUUAUCAAACCAAGUGGACCACUUCCUUCAUCUUAGGUGUCAUAGCUCCAUCAAUGCAUCCUCAAAUUACAUUG